rnacentral:rRNA from 1 species
GACGAACGCUGGCGGCGUGCUUAACACAUGCAAGUCGAACGCUGAAGCUUGGUGCUUGCACUGGGUGGAUAAGUGGCGAACGGGUGAGUAAUACGUGAGUAACCUGCCCUUGACUCUGGGAUAAGCCUGGGAAACUGGGUCUAAUACUGGAUACGACAUGUCACCGCAUGGUGGUGUGUGGAAAGGGUUUUACUGGUUUUGGAUGGGCUCACGGCCUAUCAGCUUGUUGGUGGGGUAAUGGCUCACCAAGGCGACGACGGGUAGCCGGCCUGAGAGGGUGACCGGCCACACUGGGACUGAGACACGGCCCAGACUCCUACGGGAGGCAGCAGUGGGGAAUAUUGCACAAUGGGCGAAAGCCUGAUGCAGCGACGCCGCGUGAGGGAUGACGGCCUUCGGGUUGUAAACCUCUUUCAGCACGGAAGAAGCGAAAGUGACGGUACGUGCAGAAGAAGCGCCGGCUAACUACGUG